GUUUUGACAAAGUUGUGGGAGAUUCCUCAUUGACACAGGUUAUAAAAUCAGGAGGGAAGAGAUAAAGCUGCACACACUUUCCCAGCUUUCCAGGCAGGAUGUCCACUUACUCUCAUCAGAGAGCUGAAUUUGGGAGUAACCAGAGCAUUUGCCUAAGGAUAUUCCACCCAUGGUGAAGCGCCCAAGGAGGUUGUGGCCUGCAGAUGUCUCAAAGAUAUUCAUAUACUACUGGGACUUGGCUGAAAAGUAAUAAUAGAUAUUCCUGCUCCCCUCUACUUCUUCCUGGUAUUAAGGAAGAGAAGCUUUGUAGUUUUACCGUGUGUAAAUUGGAGCACUUGAAGAGAUAUGGAAUCUGGCAUCACAUACUCGUAUGGAACUUGGUUUGUCUUGAUUUGAUAG